ACAUUAACCCAGCACAGGAGAGCUCCUACUAACCCAGCACAGUGCCUGGCAAACAGGAGGGGACUGAGAAAGCUUAGUUCUCUCCCUCUCUCCACCUUCCCCUAUUCAACAUGGGGAGGAGUCGUAGAUUUAGACUUGUUAAGUCUGGUGCUCUACUUAUUUCUCUCUAAGGAAACUGUCUUUGAAUUCUUGAAGCCUCUCUCCUCAGGUUACAGAUCAUUGUGCUGUGGACAUAGUAGGAACUCAGUGCGAGGGACUGAGUGGUUCUGAGGACUAGGCAGGAUGGCAGAGGAAGCCCACAGCCCCUCUGAGGGCUCUUGUUCCCAGUGACUCCUCUCAUGGUUCCCUAAAGCUCUUCCUGUUGCUGUGUGGCACAGGGUAGGAGGUGGAGAAAGCUGUCCCUUUAUUUUUCCCUCCUGAGCUCAACUCCAGUAAGUGACUUCAGGCUUGCCCCUCGAUUCCCUUGCGAUUUAACUUGAAGGCUUUGGUGAUACACAUUGUUAGUACAAUAAGGAUUUUUUUCUUAAAUAAAGAGAAGCUUUGCGUAUGAAUAAAACUCUUACAGAAGAAAAUCUAUUUUUUAAAAAUCCCUUUAUUGUAGAAUAAUCUUAUAUAGGAGUCAGAUACUCCUCCUGCCCCCUCCUGCCAACUAGGGAGACUUGAAGAUAGCUCUCGGUGUUUAGGGAAGAUCAACAGGCCAUUUCACUUUUCCUAGCUAGCAAGAGGGAGACCUUGUAAUGUCCGCAGCUGAAACAGUUUUCCUGGAGAGAAGGGACCGACAAGGAUGCCAACUCAACCCAGGGGCUCGGUUUGACAUGGGGACCUCCUGAGAAGACUUCAGAGGAGCCUCUGUCUUUGCCUCGUUCUGACCCAUUUUGGACAACUGCAUAACUGUCUUCAGAAGUCAGAUGCUGGAUUUCAUCAAGAGCCUUUCCUGUGGCGGUGCAGACGAUCCCGUGGUUCCUCUCCUCUGUUUCCACUGCGAGGACCUGAGCUCUGGCCAGCUCUGCACUCCCAGCAGCCAGUGGCCCAUCUCUGUCCUCUGACCCAGCGCCUUUGCUGGAGCAAGGACUUCCUGGUUGAGAUCUGACCUAAACCCAUUCCUCCGCACGGACCACCUCCCCUGGCACACGCACAGAGCGAGAAGUUUCCUGGGUCCAUUUUAUCGCCCAGUGAACACAGAAGUAAUGGAGUCUCGCCCACGACGCCUUCUGCUAAGGAGGAGCCAGAGUGAGUAGCAGGGGUCGGAGGAAGAACCCGGAGGUGAGUGUGGUCCCAGAACCCAGAGCAGGUGAGAGACCUGUCCCUGUCCCGCGGUGUGAGAGGGGGGUUUGUAACAGCCGGAUGACUUCCUGGGCCACCAGGAUCCGGGAGCUACUGAGGGCAAAGGCAGCACCUGUCCCCUGGCUGCCGCUGAGGUGGUGGGAACCCCCGCUGUGGCAGGGCUGAGGGAGAGGCCCCGGCUGCUUCAGUGGCCGCUGAUCCUGCCCCCUGUGCCCUUGGGCCCCCCAACCUCUCCUGCAGGCGCCCAUUUCAACCACGUCCCACGUCCCUGGCUUCUGGAACUACCGCGUACGCAGGAAGUGAGGCCGCUGUGAGAGCCGGCUGUCACCUCAGAGACCUCACCUUUGAGGAUCCCAUCUCUGGCCCAGAUCACCAGAAACCAGCAGGGGCACCCAGCAUUUUGGAAGACCAAGUUGGUGACCACCUCCGCGGAAUGGUCUGGGAAGGCCUUUCUGUUCCAACACCACUCCUGCUGGCAGCCGUCUUCUGUCACAGACCUCCUGAAGGGGGGACCACUCCUGGUCCCUCAGUAACAGGCUGAAGAGAGCUGCCUUUGUUUCUAACUAGUCUUCCCCACCUGCGGUGGACGCCCGCUGAUGAACUGUUGCCUUGUCUGAAUCGACUCCUUUGUUUUCCUUUUUUCCCUUCGUUGGUAAUUCCCACCAGGAGGGCGGCAUCCCCAAAGUUGUUGACAUUAGGUCUCUGAUGCUGAGCUGAACCCUGUCAUACAGGGGCCUGCAGGAUUUCAAGAGAGAUGGGGCCCUGCUGGUGAGGAGGAGCUAGAGUGGAUGGAAAGGUGAGCCCGUGGCACCCGAGGGGACUCGCAGAAUCUAGAAACUGGAGGAGCUGAGUUAAAAGAGGCAUUUUAGUUCAUUUUAGCACACAUUUAUGGGGAGUACACUAUGUCCUAAGCACUGAGCUAAGCAGAGUGGACACAGCCAUGAGUGAAACUCAGUUCCUUUGGGAGUCCACAGUCACUACAGGGUGUUAAUUGCACCUGAUGGUGGGUAAGAGCUUAGACUCUGAGCAAGACUACUUGGAUCUGAAUCUCACUUCUGCCACUUAGAAUAAUGGGUGACUUUGGGCACGUUUAUAAGUCUCUGUGUUUACAUUUCUCCAUUUAUAAAAUGCAGACAGUAAUAGUACCUGCUCACUGGGUUGUUGUGAGUGUGUGUGUGUGUGUAUGUGUGUGCACAUGUGCAUGUUUUACACUGUACCUGGAGUACAGUGAGCAUUGCUGUAGGGUCUUUCAGUCCCUAGUCCCCCUUUCUUUCUGUUCUGAUCAAAAUACACAGACUGCCUUGAAAACUCCGAGAACCACUGGAUGUUUUCUCCAGUAGACCUGACAUUCCCAGGCACUGAUAAAGAUGUUUACGUUGUUGCUCAAAACCCUGAAAGAAAAUUGCCCUGAACCAAAGUCCCUAACCUGGUCCUUUGUCAUGGGCACCCCUGGAUGGGGCAUCUCCUGUUGCCGUCUUCUGCUAAGAAAUGCUACAGACCCCUCUGUACAUAAGUUCCUCCAAUGAGACCUUGGGACUGACCACGCAUUGGGCAUUUAGAGCUUCUUCCUUUGAUAUUCCAACUGGUCAGGACAGUUUAGAGCAGUCCCUUUUGGAAAUCCCCUGUUGUCAAUACUGGAGGUGACUUCACCUUCAAGUUCAGUUGGGACAGCGUAACUAUCUGUGUGCCUGUUAAUACUAGGUAAAAUCAUGGAGGCCCAUAUCAGGAGCCGUGGGAACGGAGACCAGGGAAAUCUCAAGAGGCAAUAUUUCCCUUACAAAAUUAAGUGGUCUCCUGGCCUCUUUGUCUGAAUCUCUCUUUGUCUUUUCUGAGUCUCUUCCGAACCACAUGCUUCUUCAGCCAAUCCGCUGAACCAGUGAUCUGCCAUCAUCAGCCAGUGGCUGGCUUUCUCCAUGCCCCCUUUGACAAGGGGCUCUCCUCCAGGAAACAGAAGCGGUCUUCAUCUUUAUAUAUACACACAUUUAUUUUUUUAUUUAUUUUUAUGUGGUGCCGAGGAUGGAACCCGGGGAGGGCCUCGUGCUAGGCGAGUGCUCUACCGCUGAGCCACGACCCCAGCCCCCUCUUCACCUGGUACUCCUGUCCCUCCUAGUCUGCCUCUGUCCUUCACACUGUCCACCUGAGCCCUGUCUUAAGGUCCUUGCCGAGGAUACCCUCAGUUCUCAUCACAGUCUGAGCACCCCACUUUCCGUCAUGGGGAUGGGAGGUGGUCUUUCCCUCUGGGCUUGGUGUGCUCUGUUGCUCUGUGCCAUCAAGGGACGUGGGGAAGAUCAGGCACCAAAGACCAACUCAGGGAGGGAAACUGGGGAUACCAUGUGUGGACCCCUCAGGGUACUGGCCGAGGAGACGGGGACCUGCUCCUCUCUGACUGCCACUAACUCCCCCUGUGACCAGUAUCUUGCCAACUUUUAACCACACAAGGGACCUCUUUUAUUAUUUCUCUUUGCCUGAACUUCUUCAUGGUUUGAAAGAUUUUAUCUCCCCCCAAACAUCCUGCAGUUUAAUGAAUUAUUUUUCCAUGUUUUUUGUUACCAGAUAUUGAACCUAGGGGUGCUUAACCACUGGUUUUUAAAUUUUGAGACAGGGUCUUGCUUAGAGCCUCGCUAAGUUGCUGAGGCUGGCUUUGAAUUUGUGAUCCUCCUGCCUCAGCCUCCCAAGUGGCUGGGAUCACAUGUAAGUGCCACUGUGCCCAGCUACAAUCUUUUACUUAUAUAUGUUUAAGGUAUACAACAUGAUGUUCUGAUGUGCAUAUGUGUAGUCAAUAAUCACUACAGUCAAAUGCAUCUAUCACCUUCCGUAGCUACCCUCUGUCUUUCUGUGGGUACUACAUGGACUUAAAAUCUGCUCUUUAGCAGAUUUUUAGCAUAUGGACAAUAUUGUUAACUGCAGUCUUCAUGCUGUGCAUUAGAUCUCUAGAUCCUUCCCCUCUGCAGCCCCCUGGCCACACUGUUCUACUCUAUUUGUAUUUAUUGGACUCUGUAUGUAAGUGAUAUCAUAAAGUGCUUUCUCCUU